rnacentral:rRNA from 1 species
UACGUAGGGGGCAAGCGUUGUCCGGAUUUAUUGGGCGUAAAGAGCGUGUAGGCGGCCAGGUAGGUGGGUUGUGAAAACUGGAGGCUCAACCUUCAGACGUCGACCCAAACCCCCUGGCUAGAGUCCGGAAGAGGAGAGUGGAAUUCCUGGUGUAGCGGUGAAAUGCGCAGAGUAUCAGGAGGAACACCGAUAGGCGAAGGCAGGUCUCUGGGCGAGUUAACUGACGCUGAGGACGAAAGCAUGGGGAGCGAACAGG